AUUGAACGCUGGCGGCAUGCCUUACACAUGCAAGUCGAACGGCAGCACGGGAGCAAUCCUGGUGGCGAGUGGCGAACGGGUGAGUAAAGUAUCGGAACGUGCCCAGUCGUGGGGGAUAACGUAGCGAAAGUUACGCUAAUACCGCAUACGAUCUAUGGAUGAAAGCGGGGAUCGCAAGACCUCGCGCGAUUGGAGCGGCCGAUAUCAGAUUAGGUAGUUGGGGGGGUAAAGGCUCACCAAGCCGACGAUCUGUAGCUGGUCUGAGAGGACGACCAGCCAGACGGGGACUGAGACACGGCCCAGACUCCUACGGGAGGCAGCAGUGGGGAAUUUUGGACAAUGGGCGCAAGCCUGAUCCAGCCAUGCCGCGUGCAGGAUGAAAGCCUUCGGGUUGUAAACUGCUUUUGUACGGAACGAAAAGGUUUGACUUAAUACGUUGGACUCAUGACGGUACCGUAAGAAUAAGCACCGGCUAACUACGUGCCAGCCGCCGCAGUAA
rnacentral:rRNA from 1 species